ACCACUCCUCAGCCUUUUUGCUAAGAUGAAGUGUAGCGUUUGUUCUUGUCAGGUUACUAUCUAACAUACCCUCUAAGAAUGGUACAUUAAAUGGAGUUUUGUAGCUUGGGAAGUGGUGGGCACUUGUUCUGUCUGUUCCACACGUACACCUAGUAUGUAGUACCACCAAGAAAAUCCAAACCUCA
ensembl:snRNA U2 U2 spliceosomal RNA